rnacentral:rRNA from 1 species
UACGUAGGGGGCAAGCGUUGUCCGGAAUUAUUGGGCGUAAAGAGCGUGUAGGCGGCCCGGUCAGUCCGCCGUGAAAGUCCAGGGCUCAACCCUGGAAUGCCGGUGGAUACUGCCGGGCUGGAGUCCGGAAGAGGCGAGUGGAAUUCCUGGUGUAGCGGUGAAAUGCGCAGAUAUCAGGAGGAACACCAAUGGCGAAGGCAGCUCGCUGGGACGGUACUGACGCUGAGACGCGAAAGCGUGGGGAGCAAACAGG